rnacentral:rRNA from 1 species
UUGGAGGGCAAGUCUGGUGCCAGCAGCCGCGGUAAUUCCAGCUCCAAUAGCGUAUAUUAAAGUUGUUGCAGUUAAAAAGCUCGUAGUUGAAUUUCGGGGUCAGUAGGUUGGUCGUGCCUAUGGUAUGUACUGGCUUUACUGAUUCCUCCUUCUUGAAGAACUGUAAUGUCAUUAAUUUGGUGUUGCAGGGAAACAGGACUGUUACUUUGAAAAAAUUAGAGUGUUUAAAGCAGGCUAACGCUUGAAUACAUUAGCAUGGAAUAAUGAAAUAGGACGUUCGAUCCUAUUUUGUUGGUUUCUAGGAUUGACGUAAUGAUUAAUAGGGAUAGUUGGGGGCAUUAGUAUUCAAUUGUCAGAGGUGAAAUUCUUGGAUUUAUUGAAGACUAACUACUGCGAAAGCAUUUGCCAAGGAUGUUUUCAUUAAUCAAGAACGAAAGUUAGGGGAUCGAAGACGAUCAGAUACCGUCGUAGUCUUAACCAUAAACUAUGCCGACUAGGGAUCGGAUGAUGUGAAUUUUUUAAUGACUCAUUCGGCGCCUUACGGGAAAC